rnacentral:rRNA from 1 species
AGCGUGGGGAGCGAACAGGAUUAGAUACCCUGGUAGUCCACGCCCUAAACGAUGUCAACUAGUUGUUGGUGGAGUAAAAUCCAUGAGUAACGUAGCUAACGCGUGAAGUUGACCGCCUGGGGAGUACGGUCGCAAGAUUAAAACUCAAAUGAAUUGACGGGGGCCCGCACAAGCGGUGGAUUAUGUGGAUUAAUUCGAUGCAACGCGAAAAACCUUACCUGGCCUUGACAUGUACGGAACUUUCUAGAGAUAGAUUGGUGCCUUCGGGAACCGUAACACAGGUGCUGCAUGGCUGUCGUCAGCUCGUGUCGUGAGAUGUUGGGUUAAGUCCCGCAACGAGCGCAACCCUUGCCAAUAAUUGCCAUCAUUUAGUUGGGCACUUUAUUGGGACUGCCGGUGACAAACCGGAGGAAGGUGGGGAUGACGUCAAGUCCUCAUGGCCCUUAUGGCCAGGGCUUCACACGUAAUACAAUGGUCGGUACAGAGGGUCGCCAACCCGCGAGGGGGAGCAAAUCCCAGAAAGCCGAUCGUAGUCCGGAUUGUUCUCUGCAACUCGAGAGCAUGAAGUCGGAAUCGCUAGUAAUCGCGGAUCAGAAUGUCGCGGUGAAUACGUUCCCGGGCCUUGUACACACCGCCCGUCACACCAUGGGAGUGGGUUUUACCAGAAGUAGGUAGUCUAACCUUCGGGGGGACGCUUACCACGGUAGUAUUCAUGACUGGGGUGAAGUCGUAACAAGGUAGCCGUAAAGGG